UUUUUAUUAUUUUGAGGUGCAUUAAAAACAAUAAUAAAAAGUACAAAAUGUCAACAGACAGUGCAAAUGCGUAUUAAUAGUUGUCUCUCUGCCUCUGGCUGCAGCAGCAGCUGUGUGCCUUUGCGUGUGUGUGACUGUCCCGCUCGCUCCGGCUCGGCUGUCGGGCCUCGUGCGGCGGCCAGUCAACUCGGUCUUUCAGUCAACUCGUUCAUCUGUCUGGAUCUUUCGUUCACUCGGUCUUUCAGUCAACUCGUUCACCAUCUGGAUCUUUCGUUCACUCGGUCUCUCGUUCAACUCGUUCAUCCGUCUGGGUCUUUCGUUCACUCGGUCUUUCGUUCAACUCGUUCAUCCGUCUGGGUCUUUCAUUCAACUCGGUCUUUCGUUCACUCGGUCUUUCGUUCAACUCGUUCAUCCGUCUGGAUCUUUCGUUCACUCGGUCUUUCGUUCAACUCGUUCAUCGGUCUGGGUCUUUCGUUCAACUCGGUCUUUCGUUCAUUUGACCCGUUCUUUCAGUCAACUAGGUCUUUCGUUCAUUUGACCCGUUCUUUCAGUCAACUAGGUCUUUCGUUCAUUUGACCCGUUCUUUCAGUCAACUCGGUCAUCCCGGUCUUUCAGUCAGCUCAGUAGUACUGCUGCUGCUUCUCUAAGCCCCACCCACACACAGAACGAGGCGCGACGAUAGGAUAAGACAGGCAAGCAGUCCCUCUUCAGCCAAUCAAAAGAACUGAACGGAUUGAACGGGUCAUUUAGGGGGGGAGAACUAGUUCAUUUUGUUCAUCAAAAAGAACUAGUUCUUUUGAUCCAUCCGUUCAAGACCGACACACCACUAAAGAACAUUUUACAGGCAGGUAAGUGACUUUAGUCAAGAUAACAAUGAACAAAUGCGGUGAAUAGUUUAAGUGUCUGCUGACAUGUUGAAUAUCUGUAUAAUUGUAGCAGUAAAAAAAAAGCCCAUAAAAGUGGCAUGGGGGGCGGCCCACCAAGCCAGGAUUUCACCCCAGCGGAGGAGCUGGCCCUCCACGCGAAUAAAGAGAGGCCAGUGGUGGAGGGGAUCCAGGGAGGGACGGCCACAGACUGUGUCCCAGCAACACAAACUGGCUGCUUCAUACAAGGUACAUAUUGCAGUACGACUGCACAUGAAACACAAUUAAAUAAAUAUAUUAUACUGUCUGACUUUGGAUUUCCUUGCAGUGUCUGGGAACACACUGACACUUUUGGGAGCCACCAGAAGAUGAUCCGG